UGUUAUUAGAAGUAGAAGCAUUUCAGUUGACAAAAAUAAUAAAGUGUCUGAAACUAACUUUGCUCAAAGAAGUAGUUCCUUAUUUGGUAGGUAGUAUUUGCUACAUUGUUAAAUAUUUUUACAGCUUGGAAGAAAUGAGUAUUACCUAGGAUAACAGAGAUAUUUCUUGAAAAAUAAAGAGAUCAUAUGACAUAAAAUAAAAUGCAAUAACGUGAUCUCUGUUGGUAUAGCCUAAGAAAAUAAAUGUUUAUUUGCAAGAUAACUUCCAGGUGAGUAACAAUAUUCCAGGUUUGCUUCUUCUAACAUUAAAUAUGAGUAUGUAUUUUUAUGCUUUUUGGCCUAAAAAAUUUUUGUAAUGGAACAAGAUAUCAUCCAGAGCUCUCAAAAGGCAAAAGAGAAGGACCAUACAGUCUGUCAGAUAAGCAAGCAUCAUAACAAGAGAACAGCUAUGAAAAUCAAUCAGAAUAAAAUUACGUAAAAGUGAGAGUGUUUUCCCUGAGGAAUUAAUUAGCAUAGCUAUCCCAAUCUGCAACACCCUCUCCAUCCAUUUUCUUCUCAAAGUUUAAUUCUUUAAACUUGUGACAAAAGAAGAAAAAAGCCAAUGGAUCUACUUACUUUACUGUGGAGGGUCUGUAAGAUUAACAAAAACAAUAUAUUCUUGGUUUAUUCACUCACAAAGCUAUUUGUAGUAGUUGAUGUAAGCACAAAAUAUGAUCGCAUCUAGUUGUUCUAUGGUCAUGCAAAGCCUGAUACUGUUGGCUAUGGCAGCUGUGAAUCUAAUAGAGGCAACAGAAGGACAGAGUCAAGUUCAAAUCCAGAUCUGACCUAGAAGGCUAUGUUCUUAACUCCCACAAAUCACAAUCUCCUACUGUAUAUAAAACCAGAGCUAAAAUAGAAGGAACCUCAUAAUGGGAUGAUAAAAAGGAAGUAGAAACAAAAGCUGCGAAGUAAGAUAACUCACCUCUCAACUUGUCAAGUCUCUGAUGUGAGAUCCAGUAUUAAACAAAGAGUCACACCGAAAGGCUUACACAGUAGAAGAGUUUAAAGUAAGGCCCUCUUUCCUUCAUCAGUCCAUCCUAUGAAUCCCAUAAUGACAGCACAUGGGGAAAUAUGAGAGUGAGAAAUAAAGUAAGUAGAUCCCCCUAUUUUUGUCUCUAUGUUUAUUAUGAUAAUUUGGGUAGCAUAUUACAACCUGAAAACUUCUACUUAUAAUUCCAUAUACUUAGACUUCUUUGCAAGCAUCCAUUUCUCUGUUUUUACCCAAUAGUUACCGAUUUUUCUUUCCAUGUGAUCCAAGGGAGGAAGCUGUCUUGGGAUGGGAUCACCAACCUAGAUAUGCAUAUUUUAAACUGGUGCCACCUCCGGGCUUUUAUCUAUUUGUGCUUAAAAAAAAAAAAAAAUCCACUUCCCUAUUUUAACUGGUCUGAGUCAUGUUUCUAGUUACCAGCUGCAACCAAAUGAAUCCUAACUGAUCUCUCAGUAUGAAGCUCUACCAAGAAGGAAAUUAAGGUUAUAAGAGAAUUUAAGCUUUUCUAUUUUUGUAACUAUAGUAGUAUUUUUAAAUAUGCCAUAUUCGUAAAACUUUUAAGUUCUUGAAACCAUCAAAACUGGACUUGGAACAAAAGUACCAAUUUUUAAAUUAUGAAAAGUCUUCACACCAAUUAUCAUGAGCUUUUAAUUAAUGUCUCAAGCAGGGAAUAACCAUCAGCACAUUAAUUAAUUGGCUUUUUCCUUAUAUUUGAAUAUUAUCAAAUUUUAACAUUCAUUUUAACUGAAGCCACCUGUUUCCAUUGUAUUACUGACUAUCAUAAAAUUCCGUUUUACUGCGUAAUUUUCACACUUCUGCAUUUUUCAAAGCAAUGUCCGUUUUUCAUAUUUCCAAACAACUGUAUUUGUAUUACAUAUAACACAUAUGUAAAUAUUUACCUUAUGGAAUAAACAUAAAACAUCAUUUAGCCUAAUAAAGCAUUGGUCAUCAAAAUAUAAACACAAUUCUGUUUUAAUUCACUUUUUUGAAAUAAACAUGCAUGAAAGAAUUAUUUGCUGUCCAUAGGGAAAAAUCACUUAAUUUUUCGAGAAUUCAGUCAUUUUCUACAAAAAAAGAGUAGGAUAGACCAUAAUCCUCUAGUUUCUCUUUCCAACUUCAAGCUCUAUGUGCAAGAAAUCUAAAAUAAUCAUCUUUCCAAAACUUUGCCAUCACAAUCAACUCUUCAGGCCAAGGCCAACAAUCCAAAUACUUGAAAUUAUAAUAAUGAAACAUUUCUACUGUUACCACUAGUGCCAUAAUCAUCUCCACUUACAAUAUAUAUGUAUUUUAUUAAAAAUUAGCAACAACAAAUUAAGUCUAAGACUACAGAUUUUUUCAGUAAACAUUUGCAUUUUGU
rnacentral:lncRNA from 1 species